rnacentral:tRNA from 1 species
AAGCAGAUAGCUUAAAUAUAAAGCAUAACACUGAAGAUGUUAUUAUAGAGAUUCUCUUCUGCUUA